rnacentral:rRNA from 1 species
UACGUAGGGAGCAAGCGUUGUCCGGAAUCAUUGGGCGUAAAGCGCGCGUAGGUGGCCAUUUAAGUCCGCUGUGAAAGUCAAAGGCUCAACCUUUGAAAGCCGGUGGAUACUGGGUGGCUAGAGUACGGAAGAGGCGAGUGGAAUUCCUGGUGUAGCGGUGGAAUGCGCAGAUAUCAGGAGGAACACCAAUGGCGAAGGCAGCUCGCUGGGACGUUACUGACACUGAGGCGCGAAAGCGUGGGGAGCGAACAGG